rnacentral:tRNA from 1 species
AGCCCCGUAGUGUAGCGGUCAAUCAUUCAGCCCUCUGGAGGCUGAGACCUCGGUUCGAAUCCGGGCGGGGCUA